UCAAAGGCCCUUUUUAGGGCCAUUAUUCCCUCUUGAUAGUCAUUUU
rfam:Octopus bimaculoides Scaffold7113_contig_19, whole genome shotgun sequence.